rnacentral:rRNA from 1 species
AUACGUAGGUGGCGAGCGUUAUCCGGAAUUACUGGGUGUAAAGGGCGCGCAGGCGGCAUUAAAAGUCAGGUGUGAAAGCCCAAGGCUUAACUUUGGAUGGUCAUCUGAAACUUUAGUGCUUGAGUGUCAGAGGGGAAAGUGGAAUUCCUAGUGGAGCGGUAAAAUGCGCAGAGAUUAGGAGGAACACCGGUGGCGAAGGCGACUUUCUGGCUGACAACUGACGCUGAGGCGCGAAAGCGUGGGGAGCAAACAGGAUUAGAUACCCUGGUAGUCCACGCCGUAAACGAUGAUUACUGGGUGAAGGGGGUAUCGACUCCCUCUGUGCCGAAGCAAACGCGAUAAGUAAUCCACCUGGGGAGUACGGCCGCAAGGCUAAA